GGAGGAGUGGCAGAGAGGUUGAAUGCGGCGGUCUCGAAAACCGUUUAGCCAAUAAUUUUGGCUACGAGGGUUCGAAUCCCUCCUCCUCCGCCA
rnacentral:tRNA from 1 species